ACGUGCAAAGUUUAAAAAAAAGUAGCUCUGGGCUCUGCGUCUCUGAAGAAAUUUACUAUUUUCUCAGUGUGUUUUCAGUGUUUAUCUCAAGUGGAAAGAUUGCUCGUUUCUUCGCAAGAAAGUGUGUCUUUUUUCCCCAUUAAUUUACUUGCUGUCUUCUUUUAUUUCUACAAAUUUUUGGUGUUUUGUGUGGCAUCAACUGCCAAACGGAGAACUUGUUCUGACGCAUUGCGAAAAGCCCCAAAGAACUUUUGGAAGAAGGUGGAAAACAGUGGUUCACAGGUUUUCCAGUUCUCCAGUCAAGUUUAUUCUUGAACAUUUCUUCUGUGAAUUAGUUUUCUAGAUAAUUUUGCAUUUCUUGUGAGUUUGUGUCGGCUACUGCGGCAGAGAAAUAAUUGAUUAAAAGAGGACUAAAAAGAGAAGGGGAUUCUGGUGAAAAGUGGGGGAGAGAUACCAAAGUGUGUGAAUAUUUACUUUUCCUGCCAUAUUUUCUCUUCCUAUCCCGCAGUAUCUGUCUCUCUGUCGUUCGUUAGUGAUCGAAAAGAAAACACGGGAUAAGGUGAUAGUGUUUUUCUGUUUUUCCCAACAUCACGAUUGAAUGGAUUUUAUCGUAGAAUCGCCAUCAAUUUCGACGUCUUUCUAAACUGCAUGAGACACUCUCACCGGGCAUGGCAGAAUGGACAACGAACAGCCACACCAGGAGCUGGUGAAAUGUGUCCUCGUAGGAGACACGGCGGUCGGGAAGACGCGCCUGAUUUGUGCCAGAGCGUGCAACAAACACGUUUCACUUUCGCAAUUGCUGUCGACGCAUGUGCCAACUGUGUGGGCCAUUGACCAGUACAGAAUAUACAAGGAUGUGUUGGAGAGAUCGUGGGAGGUGGUGGAUGGUGUGAAUGUUUCCCUAAGACUCUGGGAUACUUUUGGGGACCACGAGAAAGAUCGUCGAUUUGCCUAUGGACGAUCAGAUGUUGUUCUCCUAUGCUUUUCCAUCGCGAAUCCCGUCUCAUUGCGCAAUUGUCGUGCAAUGUGGUAUCCGGAAAUUCGACGAUUCUGCCCACAGACACCAGUCAUCCUUGUUGGAUGUAAAAAUGAUCUACGGUACAUGUACAGAGAUGAAACGUACUUGUCCUACUUUGGAGAUCGGAGUCCUUUUGUCAGAGCUGCUAGGAAGUCCGAUCUCGUGAUGCCAGAUGAAGCCAGGGCAGUGGCUAAGGAUCUCGGAGUGGCGUACUAUGAAUCGAGUGUUUUCACUUACUUUGGGGUCAAUGAAGUAUUUGAGAAUGCCAUUCGAGCCGCAUUGAUAGCGCGUCGACAACAGAGAUUCUGGAUCACGAAUCUUAAGCGUGUGCAGAGGCCACUGCUUCAGGCACCAUUUAGACCGCCUAAACCACCUCCACCAGAGGUGACAGUAAUCACUGGUACACAUUCAAAAGACAUGCUCACAAUGCUCAAUGGGCAGCGAUAUACAGAUUUGGUGCUUGUGGUGGGUGCUGUAAGAUUUCCGGUGCAUCGAUUUGUGCUGUCGGCCGGCUCAAGUGCCUUCCAUCGGUUACUCACGAUGGAACUGUCAGACUUGGGAGCGAGGAGUAGCAGUGAGUCGAGCAUGGUUAGUUCAACGUACGGUGAUAAUUCAACUGCCGACUUCAACGAAGACACUGAGUGCCUUCUGCGAUGUGAUCCUCAAUCUCGAGUAUCUUCAGCUCAGCCAUUGAGAAUGUGGGAGCAAUUGAAGCGACGCUCGAGCUAUCAAGCACUUCCGACACACGAACCAAAGAAGCCACCGUGUGAUCUCUUCCGUGAGCUCCAUCAUCCCGUGUUCCAAAGCAUUCGGGUUAUUCAAGUGGCAGAGGGAAAUGGCACUAUUGGUAGUGGCUUCUCCACACUUUGUUCCCGCUCCCACACUCAGACCAUUGUCACCCUUAGUAAACUCAUAACUCCCCAAGCCAUGCAGCAAUGUCUCAAAUUCAUCUACUCCGGCAGUAUCGAUCGCGAAUGUCUGGAUAUACAGGAAAUUCGACAAGCGGCUGAAUUCCUUGAACUUCCUCAAUUGUCUGUACUUCUCUCCAAUAUUCAAUCCAAUCAGAACUUCAUGAAUGACGAAACUAUUCAGCACCAUUCGACGUGUGUCCGGAAAAAUCUGGAGAAAUUAUGUGUGAACGGUGGAUUAUUUGGUGAUUUAAGUUUUGAGCUAGAUGAUGGUCACGUGAAAGCUCAUCGAGCCAUUCUUGUAGCACGUUGCGAUGUUAUGAGAGCAAUGCUCAACGGCGACUUCCGGGAAGCUCAUGCCAAUGUGAUUGUCUUUCCGGGUGUGACAGAAUACACAUUCCAUAAACUACUGUGUUAUCUCUAUACAGACGAAAUACCUCCAAUAUCUGCGGAUAAAUGUCUGAAUUUACUAGAAUUAGCCAAUAGAUUAUGUUUACCUAGACUAUUGAAUCUUGUAGAAUGUCGCGUUAUAGAGGAUUUAACAAGAAUGUCACAAAAUGAGAGUAGCGAGGCCGUGGAACAUUGCUUGAAACUCCUGGAGCCGGUUAAGCUCCACAAUGCCCAUCAAUUGGCCGAAUGGUGCAUGUCGUACUUGUGUGUCAACUACAACAUCAUCUGUCGCGUGUCACCAAAGAGUCUCAAGGCACUACAUCCGGACAAUCAGGAAUAUUUGAGGGAACAUCGCUGGCCACCAGUGUGGUAUCUCAAAGACUAUGACUACUACCAACGCUGCAUGAAUGAAUUAACGCGUGAGAUGAAGGACAGCAAGAAAUCACCGUCUGAUGAUGAGGGAUGUCUAUGUUUUUCAGGAGUUCCUGGUGGCUUUUAUCCUUUGGCGAAAUUAGUGAGUUCACAAAGGGAUUAAUGUGUGGAAAAUGGGAAAAGUGUUCUCUUGGCUGACAGGAAAAUCGCGACGCACAGCGGAUUCGUCGGUGGUGGGUCAGCAACAGAGAUUACCCCUGACGUCUCAGCCGGCUGCGGCGGGUGCCGAAGUGGCCGCGGGCGGCCUCUAUCCCAGCCAAGCCAAUUCCGUGCAGCAGAUUGAGGGUGACGCUGAGGCUGAUCUCAAUCUUUGACAUCUGCCAAUUUGGAGUAUCUUCCUGCCAUUCUUGCAGAUCACUUCGCUUUGUGGUGAUUUUUCCCGUUCUCCUCUGCUUCAUUGCCACGAUCCUGAGCAUCCUCAUUAUCCUUCAACUGUACAUAUAGAUGUACAGAUUAGGUUCUCUAUUCUUAAACUUCUCCACGAAAACACCCUAGCCAGAACAGUUUUGGAAGCUGGUACCGAUCGAGGGAUAAACAGUGAGCAUUUUUAUUUUUUUUUUAUUUUUUACUGCAAACAGCAUUCUAUAUAUAAAAAAAUAUAUAUAGAAUUCACACAGAUUAAGUAUAUAUUUUAAUAAUUUCUGUAUACGUAUUUUUACCUAACUUUUCGUUUACUUAAAUGAAGUCAAUGUAAAAGAAGUUUUAAAAAGAAUGUAUGUAAUUUCAAGAGGUCGUGAGAAAGAGAUCAAAAUGAACCUUCGAGAAUGUUUUUUGGAAUAUUUAGUUGAAAUAAUUAUUUUUAGACAUUUUAUACAAAAGUACGUAAAUUAGAUAGAUUUAAAAAAAUAUAUAUAUAUUAUUUAAAAUUUUCAAUAUUUUACUGUUGACAUGCUCAAAAGAAAGGAGUUUUGUAAAGAAAAACAGUAAAAUAUAUUUUUUUUAAAUAUAUUUUAAAAUGAAAAAAAUUUAAAAAAAUCAUUUUGCUCUGUCCACAUAGAUUUGUUUUUUUUUUUAAUUAACACUCUCAUGAUUGAGAUAUUACUUAUAUUGAUUUAUUUAAAAGAAAAUUAUUUAGCAAAAUUUGCAUCAUUAUUUUUGUUUUUUAAUCAAUUAAACUGUUGAAAAGUUUAUCUGAAAGGACGAAUAUGGUGCUUAAAAAUGGAAGAAUUAUUAUAAAAUUUUGUUUUACAAAUUAUGAUUCCGAGAAUAAAAAAAAACAAGCAGUUGCAUUUUUUUAGUAUAGGGUAGCGGCAUUACUUUUGGCCAUAUUAAUGACAUAUUUGCACACAACUUCUUUUCUUUUUGACCAAUUAAGAUAAAAUUUUAACUGUAAUUUCUUUAAAGUACCUCCUUUCGAUAUAUCCAGGUGAAUUUAUUAGGAAAUUGCCUUAAGUCUCAGAAAAAAGUAUAAUUUUUCCAACAAUGUAAAAUUCAUAACUUGUGGCCACUUUUACGAACUUAUGGCCGCUCGUGGGAUGACUUAUGGCCACAAUGUAAAAUGAUGCAAAAUAAACUUAGAAAUAAAAUAUUUUAAGUGCAAAAGAAAAGAAAGAGAUUUUAGGUAGUUUCAAAUGUUUUUAUUAUUUUUUUUCUAAAGUUUAUAUAGUUUUUAUUCAUGAUUGUACCAUUGCACUAUUAAUUGCUUCACUGAGAAAAAAAGAGGGGUGCGAUUAACUUUUUUCCUCAUAACUUUAACACUUUUUAGGUGCAAAAAUAUAUCAACAUUUUUUAAUGUUAAUUUAACACCUUUUUAAGGGUAAAAUUGACAUAAAAAGGGUAACUUUAACCCCUAAUACACCUAAAAAGCAUAACAUUUACACCGAUUUCGGAUCAAUACUGCAGGGUAAAAUAAACAUUUCCGGAAUGUUAUUUUAACUUUUUCGGAUUUCUCUCAGUGUUCUCAUCUUUCUAUUUACUGAGGCUCGCAAUUCGUUUUUCAUAAUGAAAAAUCCAUAUUUGACUGCAUGAAAAACCCACCUCAUAAUUCCCUCUGUCUCCUUUUGUAAGGGCACUGUGAAAGCCUUCGUGGUCUGAUAUUUCUUCCGUAUGCUUCCCGGAGACUUCAUUGAGGAGAGUUGUGAGAGGAAUGUGAUACACCUGAAAUACUCUGGUUGCGGUCAUUGCAUUAUCAAUGCCUCUUAAUGCCUGUCAGUUGAAUAUUGAGGCUUUUUUUUGAUUUCUUUAUAUAUUUUUUUACUGGUAUCAUUAAAAGAGAGAAAAAUAAAAGUUAGGUUAUCUAUAACAAAAUACAAAUUCAUGAGAUAAAUCUGCAACUCUCGAGUAAUCUUGAAAUCAGACUUUACACCACAUUUAUUUAUAAACAAUUUUAUAUUACAAUUUCAUCACUUCUUAAAUUUCAUUAAUUUUUUGCCAGAAAACACCGAACUAUUGAAUAAAAGCAAUAGGGGAGACUGGGGCAAAAAGUCACAAAUCGAAAAAUUCAAAAUUCAAUAUCUUCCAAGGUAAAAGAGAUAGCGGUUCAAAUUUUUUUCUAUUGAUAGCCUCCAUAGACCUUCUUCAAUGUCGUAAGUUUCUUAGAAUUCGAACAAGGAAUUCAGAAAAUAAAAAAAUAUCGAAAUUUUUAGCCCUAUUUUUGAAAUAUUUGCCUUGCAGAAGAUAACAAUUAUUACCUACUUAUUUUCCGAAAUUGAUGCACUAGUGAAUAUUUUCUAAAUAAUUUGGAUUUUUUGAAUACGAAUCCGCUAUCUAUUUUAGAAUUUCACAAAAGUUCUUUUCUCCAGAAAUCCUUUUAUUAAAAAUGGCCACCUGGGGUAAAAAGUAACAAAAGGUAUAGAGCAAAAAGUAACAAAAAAGCGAAGCAAUUUCUGAUGUCUCACGGCGAAAAGAAACGUCAUUAUCAUGUCUCGCCGCUUGUUUGCAUUGGUCAAACUAUUUGCAGUCUUUUGUGUGUUUUUUUCUAAAAUAGCUUGAAAAACGCUUUUCUCGUUUUCUCACUUUUCUCGCAGAGAAAACGCUGUAUUACAAAGGUGUAGAUGAAUAAAUUUUCUAUAAAAAUAUGUCCUCUAGGUAUUUUUUCAAAUUUACGGAAGCCCGUAAUGAAUCUAAUCAAAAUAUGAUACUACCCAAUCUUACCAUCCACAAGUAGAUCUUGAAAAAUUCGAAAAUCUAUUUGAAGAUCUAAAAAAAGAGACUUUCUUACUUCUUGAUAAUUCCGCAAGGUUGCUGAGAUACAUCCUGUUCGAAUUUCGAAGUGCUUAAGUGUCAAAAUGUGACGGUCUUCACAUUGUGUGAGGAAAAAACAGAACAACGAUGCUUACUGUUCUUGCCCCAGUAUUUAAAUCACUCCAUAAUCACUGAGUAACUCUUUUUCAAGCUUUUUAUUGUGAUAUUUGAUAAAUUUUCCCCACCUUGUUCGAAAAUUUAGUAUGAAAAUUCGAAAUUGAAUUUGAAUUCUUCGAACAUCAACAACUUUUUGUGCAAAUAGAGUUCCAUUUGCCUUUUAUCCAAGACACUAUUGGAGAAUCAAAAUCUACUUGUGUUUGGGCUCAAUGUCUGAUACUAUUUGCCCCAGCAUUUUUGAGAAUAGUCACAAAAUUACCUUUUAGAAAUUGGCUCGAUAUACGUAUUUCCUUACAAAAUAGAGGCAAAUUACUUUCACAAAGUUGUAGAGCGGUAAAUUUCCUAUAAAACUGUGCUAAUUAGAAAAUUUUGAAGCGCUCGAGUAGCAUGUAAAAAAAAAUAAAAUAUCCGUUUUGUGACUUUUUGCCCCAGUCUCCCCUACAAUUGACAACUCUACAAAUCAAAAUAGUGGCACAUGUGACAGCGCCACACGUCAAAUACCGUGGCCACAAGUCGUUAAUCCUAUCAAUUUGACCAUAGCUUAUGGCCCCGUCUUAAUUUUAUAUUUCUUGUUAAAAAAAAUAUCAAAAUUUAAUAGUAAAAGAACAUAGUUAUUAAGGAAAAAAGUUUUGAAAACUAGUACUAAAUAUUUUCGAUUGAAGAAGCAAUAAUUUAGUUGUUAAAAUUUUUGUGAUCGUUAGUAAAUUUCUUAACGAUUUGACGUAUUUUUAAUUGUCAUCCGCAUCAGUAAAAUAUUUUUCUUAAAUUGUUUAUUAUUGUACUGAAAUAUUAAAGUAAAUCAAUUUAAAAUUUUUAUUUAAUAAUAGCACACCAAAUAUUGGUAAUUUUGUGAUUCUUUGAAAUCAUUUUUUGAGAAAAAAUUGAAGAUUUCUGGGAAGAGGCCACAAGUAUAGACUGGCCAUAAGUAAUGCCACCACCCUACAUUUCAAUAAUUCGCUGAAAUAAAAAUAUCAAAAACGAGCCUUUUAAUUCUCUUUAAUUGGUAAUUUUCAAAUAUAUUUUUUUUUCAAUAUUCUUUAGACAAUGCAUUUAUAUUAAGAAAAAAAAGGUGGUAGACGUGAAAGGUAAGAUAAAGUUUGUGAAAAGAAAAUAGGAUUUUAAAUCUUAGAAUAAAAAAUAAUAUAAUAAAAUUUUCCUAGUAAUAAAAAUUAUUAUCGAUAUUAAUGAAUUUUUGAUACUUGAGUAAAGAAGAAGAUGAAUGAACAUUUUGACUAUAAAGCUAAUUCAAAUAUCUUUUUAAUUAACAAUAAAAAGAGAGAGGAAACCAUUUGAUGAAUAUCUUUACGUAAUUAUUAUACUCUCUUUAUAAAAAAAAAGAAAAUUUUGGAACCACAUAAAGAAAAAUCACACAAAUUAACACCAAAAGCAUAAAGACAUCCAACAAAAUUGCAAAAAAAAACUGCCUCAAGAUACAUUCAAUUAAAAAUAUAAAACUUUUAUUAAAAAAGCUUCAUGGAAAUUCAAAAAAAAAUGAAAUAAAAAUUUCAGAGAUUAUAAGAAAAACUGCAUUAAUUCACAUUUUUGUAACUAUAUAUUUUUAGUUUCAUAUUUUGUCGGACGGUAAAAUUUAGUAUAUUUUCGUAUAAAUCUUACAGUGUUAUCAUUAUCACACUUGCACAUUAAAAUUUUAAUAUGAUUCACAUUAAUUGUCGCUGGUGAGAGUCCAAAUGUGUAAUUUGUGUGUUUGAAUCAUUUUAUAUUCAAAAUUUGAUCUAUUUGUUGAUAAAAAGGUAGACUUGGCCCGCAAAAUUUGAUAUAAAUUGAUUUAUAGCAUUAAUGCGAAAUAUUAAUGCGAUUUUCUCUUUAAAUUUUUAAUGUGAAAAGUAUUUAUGCUUUAGGUAAAUUUAAACUUAUUUUUGCAGGCCAAGCCCUUUUUUUUAUCAAUAAAUAGAAAAACCCCAAAUAUUAAGUGACUCAAAGACACAAUUAACAUAUUUGGACGCUUAUAAGCGACAAUUAAUGUAAAUCACAUUAAAAUUUUAAUGUGCAUGUGUGAUAACGCCGUGAAAAUAAGUUACAUUUCACCCAAAAUGAUAUAGAAAAGAAUUUAACGGGUUUAAGCGAAAAUGAUGGAUAUAUCAAAAAGAAAUGGCUUCAAAUUUAAUUGAAUUUUCCUUUAUUGAGCAUCGUCUCCCUUUUAUAGUACAAUUUUAGAAAAAAAAUCUUCUGGAGAGGCGUGGCCUAAUAUUGCUAGUAAUUCUCUUAUGCCCCGCCUACUUUUAUUUUAAAAUUAACUUUUUUUGUUCAAAACCUAAUCUUUCUAUGCUACAAUCUUCCAAAAUGUGGAUUAAAAAUAAUAGUGACGAAAUAUUAAAAAAAAAAUACAGAAGAAAUAGUAGGAUGAUAUUUAAUUUGUGAUAAGAUGAAGAGACAAUUAAUGAGAAGAAUAACCGUGUGAUUUUUUUGACAAAAAAAGUAAAAAUUGAUAAUUAUUCACCAUCAAAAUUUACAUCAUUAUUGGACUGAUAAGCUAGAAAUCAGAAUUGAAAAAGAACGCCCUAAUCUUAGCAAAUAAUUAUGCAUUUUCUUAUAUUCCCGACACAUUAAAAAAAAACCAAGAAAAAAACUCAGCUAAAACAGCUAUUUAGAAAAGGAAAGAAAAACGUAAAAUUAAGAAAAAAAAUGUAAAACAAGAUAAUUGACUGUGCAAUAUUUAAUUUAAAAGAAAAAAAAUAGGAAAAUGAAGGAUUAAAAAAAAUAAGAAUUAGAUCAGCUUUUUAGACAUGUCAAAUUAACUAAUUAACUUAGCCAUUAAUACUUUUUUCAAAAAUAAAAAAGAGAGAAUGAAAUUUCUUAUAUACAAUUGAAGAAA